rnacentral:rRNA from 1 species
GCUGGGGAAUAACCUCGGGAAACUGAGAAUAAUGCCCCAUAGUUCACUACGCCUGGAACGGUGAGUGGAUGAAAGCUCCGGCGGCAUAGGAUGGGCCUGCGGCGUAUCAGGUCGUAGGGGGUGUAACGUACCCUCUAGCCAUCGACGCGUACGGGUGUUGGGAGACAUAGCCCGGAGAUGGAUUCUGAGACACGAAUCCAGACCCUACGGGGUGCAGCAGGCGCGAAAACUUGGCAAUGCGAGAAAUCGUGACCAGGGAACUCCAAGUGGCUGGGGUAAGACCCAGUCUUUUCUUGACUCUUCAAAGGUCUUGGAAUAAGAGGUGGGUAAGGACGGUGCCAGCCGCCGCGGUAAUACCGGCGCCUCAAGUGGUAGUCGAUUUUAUUGGGCCUAAAACGUCCGUAGCCUGUUUGGUACAUUCGUGGGUAAAUCAACCAGCUCAACUGAUUGAAUUCUGCGAGCACGGCCAGACUUGGGACCGGGAGAGGUGUGGGGUACGCUCAGGGUAGGGGUAAAAUCCUGUCAUCCUGAGCGGACCACCUGUUGCGAAGGCGCCACACUAGAACGGAUCCGACGGUCAGGGACGAAGCCUAGGGGCACGAACCGGAUUAGAUACCCGGGUAGUCCUAGGUGUAAACGCUGUGGACUUGGUGUUGGGGACUCUCCGAGAUUCCUCAGUGCCGAAGCGAAGGUGAUAAGUCCACUGCCUGGGGAGUACGGUCGCAAGGCUGAAACUUAAA